rnacentral:rRNA from 1 species
GACGAACGCUGGCGGCGUGCCUAAUACAUGCAAGUAGAACGCACAGUUUAUACCGUAGCUUGCUACACCAUAGACUGUGAGUUGCGAACGGGUGAGUAACGCGUAGGUAACCUGCCUGGUAGCGGGGGAUAACUAUUGGAAACGAUAGCUAAUACCGCAUAAUAUUGAUUAUUGCAUGAUAAUUGAUUGAAAGAUGCUAUUGCAUCACUACCAGAUGGACCUGCGUUGUAUUAGCUAGUAGGUGAGGUAACGGCUCACCUAGGCGACGAUACAUAGCCGACCUGAGAGGGUGAUCGGCCACACUGGGACUGAGACACGGCUCAGACUCCUACGGGAGGCAGCAGUAGGGAAUCUUCGGCAAUGGACGAAAGUCUGACCGAGCAACGCCGCGUGAGUGAAGAAGGGUUUCGGAUCGUAAAGCUCUGUUGUAAGAGAAGAACGGGUGUGAGAGUGGAAAGUUCACACUGUGACGGUAUCUUACCAGAAAGGGACGGCUAACUACGUG